rnacentral:tRNA from 1 species
UAAGGCUUAGUUAAAGGGAUAAUUUUGGUCUGUCUAACCAGUGUUAUAGGAAGUUUCCUAUAGUCUUAU